AUUGAACGCUGGCGGCAGGCCUAACACAUGCAAGUCGAGCGGAAACGAGUUGUUUGAACCUUCGGGGGACGACAACGGCGUCGAGCGGCGGACGGGUGAGUAAUGCCUGGGAAAUUGCCCUGAUGUGGGGGAUAACCAUUGGAAACGAUGGCUAAUACCGCAUGAUAGCUUCGGCUCAAAGAGGGGGACCUUCGGGCCUCUCGCGUCAGGAUAUGCCCAGGUGGGAUUAGCUAGUUGGUGAGGUAAGGGCUCACCAAGGCGACGAUCCCUAGCUGGUCUGAGAGGAUGAUCAGCCACACUGGAACUGAGACACGGUCCAGACUCCUACGGGAGGCAGCAGUGGGGAAUAUUGCACAAUGGGCGCAAGCCUGAUGCAGCCAUGCCGCGUGUAUGAAGAAGGCCUUCGGGUUGUAAAGUACUUUCAGCAGUGAGGAAGAUGGUGUGCUUAAUACGCGCAUCAUUUGACGUUAGCUGCAGAAGAAGCACCGGCUAACUCCGUGCCAGCAGCCGCGGUAAUACGGAGGGUGCGAGCGUUAAUCGGAAUUACUGGGCGUAAAGCGCAUGCAGGUGGUUUGUUAAGUCAGAUGUGAAAGCCCGGGGCUCAACCUCGGAAUAGCAUUUGAAACUGGCAGACUAGAGUACUGUAGAGGGGGGUAGAAUUUCA
rnacentral:rRNA from 1 species